rnacentral:rRNA from 1 species
AUACAGGGGGUGCGAGCGUUAAUCGGAAUUACUGGGCGUAAAGAGUACGUAGGCGGUUGCUUAAGUCAGAUGUGAAAGCCCCGGGCUCAACCUGGGAACUGCAUUUGAAACUGAGUGACUAGAGUUUAAGAGAGGGGAGUAGAAUUCCGGGUGUAGCGGUGAAAUGCGUAGAGAGCCGGAGGAAUACCAGUGGCGAAGGCGGCUCCCUGGCUUAAAACUGACGCUGAGGUACGAAAGCGUGGGUAGCAAACGGGAUUAGAUACCCCGGUAGUCC